rnacentral:rRNA from 1 species
ACGCACGCUGGCGGCGCGCCUAACACAUGCACGUCGAACGAGCGAGAGAGAGCUUGCUUUCUUGAGCGAGUGGCGAACGGGUGAGUAACGCGUGAGGAACCUGCCUCAAAGAGGGGGACAACAGUUGGAAACGACUGCUAAUACCGCAUAAGCCCACGGUGCCGCAUGGCACAGAGGGAAAAGGAGCAAUCCGCUUUGAGAUGGCCUCGCGUCCGAUUAGCUAGUUGGUGAGGUAACGGCCCACCAAGGCGACGAUCGGUAGCCGGACUGAGAGGUUGAACGGCCACAUUGGGACUGAGACACGGCCCAGACUCCUACGGGAGGCAGCAGUGGGGAAUAUUGCACAAUGGGGGAAACCCUGAUGCAGCGACGCCGCGUGGAGGAAGAAGGUCUUCGGAUUGUAAACUCCUGUUGUUGGGGAAGAUAAUGACGGUACCCAACAAGGAAGUGACGGCUAACUACGUG